CCUACGGGAGGCAGCAGGGAGGGAUAUUGGUCAAUGGGCGCGAGCCGGAACCAGCCAAGUAGCGGGAAGGAUGACUGCCCUACGGGUGGUAAACUUCUGUUAUAAGGGAAUAAAGUGCAGCACGUGUGCCUUUUUGCAUGUACCUUAUGAAUAAGGAUCGGCUAACUCCGUUCCAGCAGCCGCGGUAAUACGGAGGAUCCGAGCGUUAUCCGGAUUUAUUGGGUUUAAAGGGAGCGUAGAUGGGUUGUUAAGUCAGUUGUGAAAGUUUGCGGCUCAACCGUAAAAUUGCAGUUGAUACUGGCAGUCUUGAGUACAGUUGAGGUAGGCGGAAUUCGUGGUGUAGCGGUGAAAUGCUUAGAUAUCACGAAGAACUCCGAUUGCGAAGGCAGCUUGCUAAACUGCAACUGACGUUGAUGCUCGAAAGUGUGGGUAUCAAACAGGAUUAGAUACCCUGGUAGUC
rnacentral:rRNA from 1 species